CACCGGCGGCUCGAGUGGUAACCGUUAUUAUUGGGUCUAAAGGGUCUGUAGCCGGCCGGAUAAGUCUCUUGAGAAAUCUGGCAGCUUAACUGUCAGGCUUUCAGGAGAUACUGUCUGGCUCGAGGCCGGGAGAGGUGAGAGGUACUUCAGGAGUAGGGGUGAAAUCUUGUAAUCCUUGAAGGACCACCAGUGGCGAAGGCGUCUCACCAGAACGGACCUGACGGCAAGGGACGAAAGCUAGGGGCACGAACCGGAUUAGAUACCCGCGUAGUUCCUGAG
rnacentral:rRNA from 1 species